rnacentral:RNase_P_RNA from 2 species
GAAGCAGGCCAGACAGCCGCUGGCCGGCGCUGCGAUUCGUUGCAACGCUGGCGGGAGGAAGGUCCGGACUCCAUAGAGCAGGGUGACGGCUAACGGCCGUCCGUCGCAAGGCGCGGAAUAGGGCCACAGAGACGAGCGUAUUUAGUUACGGUGAAACGCGGUAACCUCCACCCGGAGCAAUUCCAAAUAGGCACGCGUUGAUGUUGCUCGCGGAGCGUGCGGGUAGGAAGCUUGAGCCGUGGAGUAAUUCACGGCCUAGAGGAAUGGCUGUCAUAGCGUCCGGGUCACACCGGCCGCCGUAACAGAAUCCGGCCUAUCGGCCUGCUUCAACU